CCCUUAGAUGUUCUGGGCCGCACGCGCGUUACACUGAUGCAUUCAACGAGCUUAUAACCUUGGCCGAGAGGCCUGGGCAAUCUUGUUAACGUGCAUCGUGAUAGGGAUAGAUUAUUGAAAUUAUUAAUCUUGAACGAGGAAUUCCUAGUAAACGCAAGUCAUCAGCUUGCAUUGAUUACGUCCCUGCCCUUUGUACACACCGCCCGUCGCACCUACCGAUUGAAUGGUCCGGUGAAAUCUCGGGACGGCGGCUUGGUCGCUUGCGUCCGACUGCUGAAACUUGAUUAAACCAUAUCAUUUAGAGGAAGGUGAAGUCGUANCA
rnacentral:rRNA from 1 species